rnacentral:lncRNA from 1 species
AAGGAAAUAAAGUUAUUGCAUUUUUAAAAUAUCAGUACUGCAAAUACAAAUUCAUUUCUUAAGAAUAGUCUUUUGUCAUUAUUAAUCGUGGGUGGAGGUCUGGCGCUCCUAGGCGGGAAAAAGCGGCUGAGUUGGGCAAGUAAAAUUUCUCAAAAGAAAAAAAAAACAGUAAAUACAAAGGCUUAACUACUAAAAUUUAAAACCCUUGCCAAAUCAAGCUGAAACGAUCGAAGGGGUUCGCCCCUAGCCUUCCGAUUGCGACAAUCAAACAACUACUACUACAAGCCGCGACCUCCAAUUCAACCUCCGGCGACCUCGUGACCUUCGAACUUGAACUCUGGCGAAGUCCCUUCAGCUCAUGACCUCUGAUUCGCUUUUUGAUUUUGAGGAUGUAUUGCCAUGGAGUAUAGAGAGAUGAAGUAUUUGGGUUUUUGUGAAAGACAGAUUAAUAGGGAAGGUUAAUUACCCCACGUCUUAAUUUCUUUCAUUUUCUUUUUCACUGAUACUUGGGCUUUCAUUUUACUUAUGUGAGAGAGAUCUUGUGAAAAUAUCA